rnacentral:rRNA from 1 species
AGUGAACGCUGGCGGUAGGCCUAACACAUGCAAGUCGAACGGCAGCGCAGUAAGAGCUUGCUCUUACGGGUGGCGAGUGGCGGACGGGUGAGGAAUACAUCGGAAUCUACUUUUUCGUGGGGGAUAACGUAGGGAAACUUACGCUAAUACCGCAUACGACUUACGGGUGAAAGCAGGGGAUCUUCGGACCUUGCGCGAUUGAAUGAGCCGAUGUCGGAUUAGCUAGUUGGCGGGGUAAAGGCCCACCAAGGCGACGAUCCGUAGCUGGUCUGAGAGGAUGAUCAGCCACACUGGAACUGAGACACGGUCCAGACUCCUACGGGAGGCAGCAGUGGGGAAUAUUGGACAAUGGGCGCAAGCCUGAUCCAGCCAUACCGCGUGGGUGAAGAAGGCCUUCGGGUUGUAAAGCCCUUUUGUUGGGAAAGAAAAGCAGCAGGUUAAUACCCCGCUGUUCUGACGGUACCCAAAGAAUAAGCACCGGCUAACUUCGUG